rnacentral:lncRNA from 1 species
CUCAACCUUGCUUCCCUCACCUUCUCUGCAAUGUCUACCACCCCACAUCUUCUGAUCUCUUCAUUCCAUGAUAUCUCUGACUGGCUCACAUUUCCUUUCGAUCAACCAACGUAAGUUUCAAAUUACAAAAAAGUACAACAUUAACGAAAGUUAUUUUUCCCAAUUUUUCUAGCAACGAAAGAAUACGUCUAUUUGGACGAGACACUGACUAGUUAUAUUCUAGAAUUGGACAAAAUAACCACAAGUGGUUACGAGGAAGUACGCAUGGCUCGGAAAUCAGCGAUACAGAGUAUUCAGAUUGUACUUAAUUAUCUCGAAUGCAAAGUAUAGUCUCGAGCUGGACUCGAGGGUGAGACAAGUAGAACAUAUAUAAUAUAAUCAACAAUGUAGGUUAAUCGACG